ACACUCGUGGGGUCCUCUUCACACUGAGUAGGAGCGUGGUGGCCACAGGCAGUCCCGCUCCCUCCCAGGCCACAGCACCAGAGGGGCGGCGUCCCAGCGGCUCCUGGUGGGCUGGCUACUGGGCUCCUUCUUCUGUCAUCCGCCCUGCAGGUUAGAUCAGAGGCCCACACAAGAAAGGACAGCCUCGAGUGCCACCGUCUGUCCCUUUGGACAUGUUCAACAAGACAGGGGGAUUUAAAACACAUCACCUCCAGCUGAAAUGGGUUCUGGUAAAUUUCUCGAGCGCUCUCGCGGAUCUCACGUCAUCCUCUGGGUUCAGGGUCAACACUACAUUAAUGACCCACCAUUUAUCCACCGGGCACACACACCAAUGCCCGCCAACCUCGUCGUAGGAACAGAGCUACUCUUCCAGAAUGUCCACCAUAUAUAUGUGUGACAUCACUGGUCUGAUACCAUGACUCUUCUAUACAUGUUAGAAGACACCAUUGCCGCGAUGAAAACUGUGUACCUAUGAGCUGUGGGAGGUCGCCGUCAGUACCACGGCUGGCAGCACGCCUAGGAAACAAUGAUCUCUGCUAACUGUCUUCUCAAAGACCCGAAUCAAAACUCACCUCCUCUAGGAAACCUUCUCUGAUUUGCUUUUCACCCGGUUUUAGAGAUGCCUUUGUGAUAAGCUCUUGCGUGCUUAAUUUACACCUUUGCCUGUCCAUGUUCUCAAUUCACCCCCAUCUAGACUUUCAACACCAGCACUAGAUCAUACAACACCAAAAGCCAGAGAUCUUGUCUUGUUCCUUUUAUUCCCUCCCAUAGGCCCAACUACACCACAGCAAACAUUUGCUGAAUUGAUAAGGUUUAAAUGAACGAAAGGUGCCCACCAAAUGCUUACAGUUAUCUUUUUAUCAUCUGUGUUCUAAAUAGAGAGAAACCCACCCACAUCAUUUCCUAGUCUAUACGGUGUGGCCGCAACAGCCUGAUUCAGAUGUCAACCAGUGGGAAGGAUGGUUUGUUACAAUAAGACAGGUGCUGAGCGCCUGGGUGGCUCGGUUGGUUAAGUGACUGCCUUUGGGUCAAGUCAUGAACCCAGGGGUCCUGGAAUCAAGACCCAUAUCAGGUUCCCUGCUUGAUGGGCAGCCUGCGUGUC